rnacentral:rRNA from 1 species
ACAGCAGCAGCCGCGGUAAUACAGAGGGUGCAAGCGUUAAUCGGAAUUACUGGGCGUAAAGCGCGCGUAGGUGGUUUGUUAAGUUGGAUGUGAAAGCCCCGGGCUCAACCUGGGAACUGCAUCCAAAACUGGCAAGCUAGAGUACGGUAGAGGGUGGUGGAAUUUCCUGUGUAGCGGUGAAAUGCGUAGAUAUAGGAAGGAACACCAGUGGCGAAGGCGACCACCUGGACUGAUACUGACACUGAGGUGCGAAAGCGUGGGGAGCAAACAGGAUUAGAUACCCGUGUAGUCCCUGUCUCUUAUAC